GUUAACAUUGCAUAAAGAAACUAAAGGGGAGUGAAAAUACAUCUAGUUAAGUGAUAUCUAUCCAAGAGAUGUUGUUUUACUGGUGGAAUCCUGUCACUUGUCACCAACAGAGCUAUUAAGAGAAUACCUCUUGAAAAGUCUCAUCCAGUUUAGCAAUAGACAGAAUCUUUUUAUAUUUCAAACAAAGAGUUAAAUACAGAGACCUAAAAUACAAGUCACUGUUAACCGUCUGCCAAAGGGAGAUUAAAGAAG